rnacentral:lncRNA from 1 species
CUGAUAUGUAUGAACAUGCAUCAUCUGUUUCUAGUGCAAAGUGGGCAGAAUCGAGUGCCCAUUAUAAGGUAGUGUUCUACCUAAUGUAUUAAAUUUUUUAUUGUCAUAUGGCUGAGGACACUUAUUGAGUUAAUUAAGCUCCAUAGAGGAAUAGAGAAAUUGAAGGGCAAGAUAGAGAGGUCAUUUGGGGGAAGAGGAAGCCGGAAGGUGAGGCUGCUGGCUGCAGGAUGAUAUGGUUGUAGCAACAAUCAUUCAGUGUUGUUUGAGGACUCGUUUGGAAGUGCUUUGAAAAUGAUUAGAAAUGCUUUUGGAGAAUUUUUUUUUUAGUUUAAAAAACACUUGAAGUGUUUCUUGCAAGAAGUACCAAUUAUGAACUUGUCCAAGAAACACUUCAAGUACUUUUACAUGAUUCACUUGCAUUUUUAUUAAGGAGUGAUUCAAAAAACAUAUUCACCAUAAGCACUUUCAGCUAUUUUAAAAACAUUUAUAAACGGACUUGAGUUUCUUCCGUUUGGAAAUUUUCAUCUUUUAAAUAUUAAGUAGUUUUUUUUUUCAAAAAUUUGCAUAAAGAAAACAUAUAAAAUAUCAUUUACAGUCAUGUCAUUUUGGGAUAUAAAUGUCAUCUAAUUUUUUUAAUAAUUUAUAAUUUAUGGGUGUUUAGAUAUCAGUUUCAGUUGUUAACAUAAUUUCUCUUAAAUGUUGUCUGUUUUGGUGUAUCCUUUUCAGAGUGAUUUCAAGCGGCAUCUUUAUACAAUAAUAGCAGAAGUUUUAUAUCUGAUUAAAGUGGUUCUACAUCUGAUUGCUUUGGCAGCGUCAGAAGGCUUAACCGCUGGAUUUAUGGGAUUUUUGGAUAGCAAGAGUGCUUAUAGCUAGCUCCGGCUAGUUUGGCAGUCUCAGGAGGCUCAACCGUUGGACUAGCCUAGCUAAUGGGCAGUUCAAAUAUUGUCCUCUAUGCAAUUACUUAAUGCGUGGCUCUGGGGGUUAUUGUGUUGUUAUUACUAUGCUCUUUUUUCUCAAACGAAUUUAUGCUCCUUUUAAGUUGUAAUUAUCGUUCAGCUUACUAUAUAUGUUUGAACCUUUUAUAUGAUUUGAUUGUAAUAAAAUCGCGUUUACGGAUGUUGUCCCUUAUGUUCAUUUGUCAAAAGGCAAGUCCUUUUGGCUUGGUAAAGGCCAUGUAGUCGUUCGUCCGAAAAAACAAAGGCCAGGCGGUCCGGUCAAAUUGUGGCAUCAACUCCCUUCUCUCUCUAACCGUCACACGCUCACUACUCACAACCCUUUGGGUAUUAACUACAUUGAGAAUAAUCAAAGGACAAUGAAUAAUUGAGAAAGAUGAGGAGCUAGAGAGAAAUUUUAAAGAGAAAUAUGGCUUCUGUAUUUCUAAGAAAAUAACUAACUAAUUACAUUUGUCAGUUGCAGUUCUUUAUAUGAUAAAACAAUACAAACUUACUUGUAACUGAUUAACCAACUAACAAAUCAUUUAAUAGCCUAACAAAUAUUCUAACAACUUUGAUUGACGUGACAAUGAUUAUAUAACAACCUAUAAUCAAGAUAAACAAUCAUUUGUUUAGUCUCUCACACACCCUAAUUUAGUUAUGUUAAUUGUUUUUUAGGAUAAUUCUUUGUGUCUGUAGUUUUGGGUAGAUAGAUUAACAAAAAUCAUUGUGCUGUCUAUAAUUUGAUGGAGAUGUUGAAUUAUUGUAUUUUUAGUCUCUUCAAACAAAAAUGAUACACUUACUACAUAUUUGUACUAUCAUUGUACAAUCUAUCAAAUAAAAGUUGAGUCCGCCAACACAUGUAAGUCUCAUAUCAAUUAGAGAGAUGGUACAAAUAUAUUGCAAAAGUAGUAUUUUUGCUAAAUUAAACUAGCAAGUAUAACGUCUCAGUGUUGAGGGAUUCUUAAACAUAUGUAUGUUGAGAAAUGAUUUCCACACAAUCUUUUUUUUUUUGGUAGUAAACUCCUAUUAUGUUUUGUCUUGAUUCUCCUCUUAUUUAUUCACCUAAAAGUUAGAAAUAGCUUUAGAGGGUGUGUCAAGAAUAUAAGUGUGUAAAAUUGAUUUCCAAGUAUGUAGGCUUAUUUGUGUGUG